UGGGGAAUAUUGCACAACGGGCGCAAGCCUGAUGCAGCCAUGCCGCGUGUGUGAAGAAGGCCUUCGGGUUGUAAAGCACUUUCAGCGAGGAGGAAGGUGGUGGACUUAAUACGUUCAUCAAUUGACGUUACUCGCAGAAGAAGCACCGGCUAACUCCGUGCCAGCAGCCGCGGUAAUACGGAGGGUGCAAGCGUUAAUCGGAAUGCUGGGCGUAAAGCGCACGCAGGCGGUUUGUUAAGUCAGAUGUGAAAUCCCCGGGCUCAACCUGGGAACUGCAUUUGAAACUGGCAAGCUAGAGUCUCGUAGAGGGGGGUAGAAUUCCAGGUGUAGCGGUGAAAUGCGUAGAGAUCUGGAGGAAUACCGGUGGCGAAGGCGGCCCCCUGGACGAAGACUGACGCUCAGGUGCGAAAGCGUGGGGAGCAAACAGAUUAGAUACCCUGGUAGUCCACGCUGUAAACGAUGUCGAUUUGGAGGUUGUGCCCUGAGGCGUGGCUUCCGGAGCUAACGCGUUAAAUCGACCGCC
rnacentral:rRNA from 1 species